rnacentral:tRNA from 1 species
GGUUGUGGCUCCGUGGUAGAGCACUUGCCUAGUGCGUGUAAGGCCCUGGGUUCAAUCCUCAGCACCA